rnacentral:tRNA from 1 species
GGGGAUAUAGCUCAGUGGCAGAGCCUGAGUACAUGAGGUCCUGGGUUCAACCCCCAGUACCUCCA